CUCUUAUCCUGAGCCGGUGGAGGGACAGGCCCUACGAAGCCCGGCAACCUGCUGAAUAGCGACAAUUUUCAGAAAAGGUGCCAACCUGACGCAAGGCGAUUGCCUUGAACGAUAAGAG
rnacentral:ncRNA from 2 species